rnacentral:rRNA from 1 species
CGAAAAGCCUGACGGAGCAAGACCGCGUGGGGGAAGAAGGCUCUUGGGUUGUAAACCCCUUUUCUCUGGGAAGAAAGUUGUGAAAGCAACCUGACGGUACCAGAGGAAUCAGCAUCGGCUAACUCCGUGCCAGCAGCCGCGGUAAGACGGAGGAUGCAAGCGUUAUCCGGAAUGAUUGGGCGUAAAGCGUCCGCAGGUGGCAGUUCAAGUCUGCUGUCAAAGACCGGGGCUUAACUUCGGAAAGGCAGUGGAAACUGAACAGCUAGAGUAUGGUAGGGGCAGAGGGAAUUCCUGGUGUAGCGGUGAAAUGCGUAGAGAUCAGGAAGAACAUCGGUGGCGAAGGCGCUCUGCUGGACCAUAACUGACACUCAGGGACGAAAGCUAGGGGAGCG